AUUGAACGCUGGCGGCAGGCCUAACACAUGCAAGUCGAACGAGUGGCGGACGGGUGAGUAAUGUCUGGGAAACUGCCUGAUGGAGGGGGAUAACUACUGGAAACGGUCGCUAAUACCGCAUACCAUCAGACGUGCCCAGAUGGGAUUAGCUAGUUGGUGGGGUAACGGCUCACCAAGGAGACGAUCCCUAGCUGGUCUGAGAGGAUGACCAGCCACACUGGAACUGAGACACGGUCCAGACUCCUACGGGAGGCAGUAGUGGUGAUUAUGGCACAAUGGGCGCAAUCCGUAUGCAGCCAUGCCGCGUGUCUGAAGAAGGCCUUCGGGUUGUAAGGUACGUUCAGCGGGGAGGCGUUACCCGCAGAAGAAGCACCGGCUAACUCCGUGCCAGCAGCCGCGGUAAUAC
rnacentral:rRNA from 1 species